UUCGCCAGGGAACAACGAGCCCCAGCUUAAAACCCAAAGGACUUGGCGGUGCUUCAGCCCCCCCUAGAGGAGCCUGUUCUACAACCGAUACCCCCCGUUAAACCUCACCCCUUCUUGUUAAAUCCGCCUGUAUACCGCCGUCGUCAGCCCACCCUGUGAGGGACUUAAUAGUAAGCAAUGUUGGUGAAACCCCAAAACGUCAGGUCGAGGUGCAGCAUAUGAAGUGGGAAGAAAUGGGCUACAUUUUCUGAACCAGCAACAUACGAAUGUUGGCCUGAAAAACCACCUGAAGGAGGAUUUAGAAGUAAGGGGGGAGUAGAGAGCCCCCCUGAAAACGGCGCUGAAGCGCGCACACACCGCCCGUCACUCUCCCCAAUAUAUGUAGCUCUACUAGUUAAUAACAAAAGCACACACCACAAGGGGAGGCAAGUCGUAACAUGGUAAGCGUACCGGAAGGUGCGCUUGGUUAAACC
rnacentral:rRNA from 1 species